UACGAAGGGGGCUAGCGUUGUUCGGAAUCACUGGGCGUAAAGCGCACGUAGGCGGAUUGUUAAGUCAGGGGUGAAAUCCUGGAGCUCAACUCCAGAACUGCCUUUGAUACUGGCAACCUAGAGACUGGAAGAGGUUAGUGGAAUUCCCAGUGUAGAGGUGAAAUUCGUAGAUAUUGGGAAGAACACCAGUGGCGAAGGCGGCUAACUGGUCCAGCACUGACGCUGAGGUGCGAAAGCGUGGGGAGCAAACAGG
rnacentral:rRNA from 1 species